GGCCUUGCGCUCUUUGAGCGGCCGAUGUCAGAUUAGCUAGUUGGUGAGGUAAAGGCUUACCAAGGCGACGAUCUGUAGCGGGUCUGAGAGGAUGAUCCGCCACACUGGAACUGAGACACGGUCCAGACUCCUACGGGAGGCAGCAGUGGGGAAUUUUGGACAAUGGGGGCAACCCUGAUCCAGCCAUGCCGCGUGAGUGAAGAAGGCCUUCGGGUUGUAAAGCUCUUUCGGCCGGGAAGAAAUCGCAUGGGCCAAUACCCUGUGUGGAUGACGGUACCGGAAUAGGAAGCACCGGCUAACUACGUGCCAGCAGCCGCGGUAAUACGUAGGGUGCGAGCGUUAAUCGGAAUUACUGGGCGUAAAGCGUGCGCAGGCGGUUUUGUAAGACAGGCGUGAAAUCCCCGGGCUUAACCUGGGAACUGCGUUUGUGACUGCAAGGCUAGAGUACGGCAGAGGGGGGUGGAAUUCCACGUGUAGCAGUGAAAUGCGUAGAGAUGUGGAGGAACACCAAUGGCGAAGGCAGCCCCCUGGGUCGAUACUGACGCUCAUGCACGAAAGCGUGGGUAGCAAACAGGAUUAGAUACCCUGGUAGUCCACGCCCUAAACUAUGUCAACUAGGUGUUGGGUGGGUAAAACCAUUUAGUACCGUAGCUAACGCGUGAAGUUGACCGCCUGGGGAGUACGGCCGCAAGGUUAAAACUCAAAGGAAUUGACGGGGACCCGCACAAGCGGUGGAUGAUGUGGAUUAAUUCGAUGCAACGCGAAAAACCUUACCUACCCUUGACAUGCCAGGAACUUGCCAGAGAUGGCUUGGUGCCCGAAAGGGAGCCUGGACACAGGUGCUGCAUGGCUGUCGUCAGCUCGUGUCGUGAGAUGUUGGGUUAAGUCCCGCAACGAGCGCAACCCUUGUCGUUAAUUGCCAUCAUUUAGUUGGGCACUUUAACGAGACUGCCGGUGACAAACCGGAGGAAGGUGGGGAUGACGUCAAGUCCUCAUGGCCCUUAUGGGUAGGGCUUCACACGUCAUACAAUGGUCGGUACAAAGGGUUGCCAAGCCGCGAGGCGGAGCCAAUCCCAGAAAGCCGAUCGUAGUCCGGGUUGCAGGCUGCAACUCGCCUGCAUGAAGUCGGAAUCGCUAGUAAUCGUGGAUCAGCAUGUCACGGUGAAUACGUUCCCGGGUCUUGUACACACCGCCCGUCACACCAUGGGAGCGGGUUCCGCCAGAAGUAGGUAGCCUAACCGCAAGGGGGGCGCUUACCACGGCG
rnacentral:rRNA from 1 species